UUCGGAUCGCCGCGCGGGAGGAGAAGGAGGCUGCUCUUUAGAUAGAGAGGAACUAUGAGUUUAAAAGCUAUAUUAGUAUUGCUACAGUACAAAAUGAUCUCUGAUUAUGGAAACAUCUGCAUACCUAGAAGAGGAUUUGAUGGAUAAGAACGACUGACCCUGAACCUGACAAAAGAUGUAUAAGGAUGAAGGUUGGCAGCUGGAAUUCAGGAAGCAACUGGGUGAUACAGUUCAAGGCUUCCAAUUUUGAUUAGAGACUACAGCAAUGACAUGAGGGAGUCCUGAG